UUUCACCACUAUCUCUAGUCUCCUGCCUUCUAUCUAUCCACACUAUUCAACUUUAACUCUUCCUUGCAGUCGCCCAGCAAAUUCUAUUGCAUUCUUUUCUUAUUUAUCCUUACUUGAUUCUCCCUUGAAUGAAUGUUUAACAGCUGGCCCUGAGGGGAGUACCUUUCUUCUCUCUUUCUUCCAGAAAGGGAAUGAGAAUUAAACAACAUGGAAGGAAAGAGAAAGGUCCAGACAUCCUCUUUUGCAGCUCUUGUAUUUCUGUGUACCUGUGAGUGACUGUGAGCCCUCAUCUACUACUAACUGCAAUGGGCAUGUUGUGAAAAUACAUCAGCAUGUGUCUAUUAAGGCUGAAAGCAGGAGGUGGCAUUUGUCCCUGUACUUUCUAACAAGACCAGAACUCUAGUCCAAAAACA